AUUGAACGCUGGCGGCAUGCCUUACACAUGCAAGUCGAACGGCAGCACGGGAGCAAUCCUGGUGGCGAGUGGCGAACGGGUGAGUAAUAUAUCGGAACGUGCCCAGUCGUGGGGGAUAACGUAGCGAAAGCUACGCUAAUACCGCAUACGAUCUACGGAUGAAAGCGGGGGAUCGCAAGACCUCGCGCGAUUGGAGCGGCCGAUAUCAGAUUAGCUAGUUGGUGGGGUAAAAGCUCACCAAGGCGACGAUCUGUAGCUGGUCUGAGAGGACGACCAGCCACACUGGAACUGAGACACGGUCCAGACUCCUACGGGAGGCAGCAGUGGGGAAUUUUGGACAAUGGGCGCAAGCCUGAUCCAGCAAUGCCGCGUGCAGGAUGAAGGCCUUCGGGUUGUAAACUGCUUUUGUACGGAACGAAACGGUGAGCUCUAAUAAAGCUUGCUAAUGACGGUACCGUAAGAAUAAGCACCGGCUAACUACGUGACC
rnacentral:rRNA from 1 species